rnacentral:rRNA from 1 species
CACCGCGGUUAUACGAGAGACCCGAGUUGAUAGACACCGGCGUAAAGAGUGGUUAAGACUAUACUUAACACUAAAGCCGAACGCCCUCAGAGCUGUUAUACGCAUCCGAGGGUAAGAAGCCCAACCACGAAAGUGGCUUUAUGACAUCUGAAUCCACGAAAGCUAUGAUACAAACUGGGAUUAGAUACCCCACUAUGCCUAGCCAUAAACAUUGAUAGUAACCUACACCCACUAUCCGCCCGGGAACUACGAGCAUCAGCUUAAAACCCAAAGGACUUGGCGGUGCUUUAGAUCCACCUAGAGGAGCCUGUUCUAGAACCGAUUACCCCCGUUCAACCUCACCUUUCCUUGUCCCUCCCGCCUAUAUACCACCGUCGUCAGCUUACCCUGUGAAGGACUUAUAGUAAGCAAGAUUGGCAUAGCCCAAAACGUCAGGUCGAGGUGUAGCGUAUGGAAAGGGAAGAAAUGGGCUACAUUCCCUAACACAGGGAACCACGAACGAUACGCUGAAACACGUAUCUGAAGGAGGAUUUAGCAGUAAGCAGAAAAUAGAGCGUUCCGCUGAAACCGGCCCUGAAGCGCGCACACACCGCCCGUCACUCUCCCCGAGCUCAUCAAACUCAAAUAUUUAAAACCUAAAAACUGCAAAGGGGAGGCAAGUCGUAA